rnacentral:rRNA from 1 species
GACGAACGCUGGCGGCGUGCUUAACACAUGCAAGUCGAACGAAGAGCGAUGGAAGCUUGCUUCUAUCAAUCUUAGUGGCGAACGGGUGAGUAACGCGUAAUCAACCUGCCCUUCAGAGGGGGACAACAGUUGGAAACGACUGCUAAUACCGCAUACGAUCUAAUCUCGGCAUCGAGGAUAGAUGAAAGGUGGCCUCUACAUGUAAGCUAUCACUGAAGGAGGGGAUUGCGUCUGAUUAGCUAGUUGGAGGGGUAAGGGCCCACCAAGGCGAUGAUCAGUAGCCGGUCUGAGAGGAUGAACGGCCACAUUGGGACUGAGACACGGCCCAGACUCCUACGGGAGGCAGCAGUGGGGAAUCUUCCGCAAUGGACGAAAGUCUGACGGAGCAACGCCGCGUGAGGGAUGACGGCCUUCGGGUUGUAAAGCUCUGUUAAUCGGGACGAAAGGCCUUCUUGCGAAUAGUGAGAAGGAUUGACGGUACCGGAAGAGAAAGCCACGGCUAACUACGUG